UACGUAGGGUGCAAGCGUUGUCCGGAAUUAUUGGGCGUAAAGAGCUCGUAGGCGGUCUGUCACGUCGGCUGUGAAAACCCGAGGCUCAACCUCGGGCCUGUAGUCGAUACGGGCAGACUAGAGUUCGGUAGGGGAGACUGGAAUUCCUGGUGUAGCGGUGAAAUGCGCAGAUAUCAGGAGGAACACCGGUGGCGAAGGCGGGUCUCUGGGCCGAAACUGACGCUGAGGAGCGAAAGCGUGGGGGAGCGAACAGG
rnacentral:rRNA from 1 species